rnacentral:tRNA from 1 species
GGGGAUUUAGCUCAGCGGCGUAAGCACCUGCCUUGGAAGCAGGUGGUCGUGAGUUCGAUCCCUG